rnacentral:rRNA from 1 species
UACAGAGGAGCCAAGCGUUGUCCGGAUUGACUGGGCGUAAAGCGCACGCAGGCGGUCGCGCGCGUGGGGUGUGAAAUCUGGCCGCUUAACGGCCAGGCGCCAUCCCAUACGGCACGACUGGAGGGCUGCAGAGGUCGAUGGAAUUGCCGGUGUAGUGGUGAAAUGCGCAGAUAUCGGGAGGAACACCUAUGGCGAAGGCAGCUCGCUGGGACGUUACUGACGCUGAGACGCGAAAGCGUGGGGAGCAAACAGG